rnacentral:lncRNA from 10 species
CUUUAAGAACUGUAACACUCACGGCUAGGAUCCGCAGCUUCAUUCUUGAAGUCCGCGAGACCAAGAACCCACCGGAAGGAAUAAAUUCUGAACGCACUAGUGCAGUGCCUGAAGGCAAUCAGGGACUGCUCUGGCCUGGACUUUGGGUCCUGUGGCCUAGAAGUAAAGGGACCAGAUUUUAGUCAGGCCUCAGGACAGAAGCCGAGCCAGUCAAAUCAGGAGGAGGUGCGUGAGGUAUGUGUGUAUGUCUGCGGGUGGGGAGAGGUGUCAUGUGGGGACCAGGAGCUGCCCAAUAUUGAG